UACAGAGGUCCCGAGCGUUGUUCGGAUUCAUUGGGCGUAAAGGGUGCGUAGGCGGCGGGGCAAGUCUGAUGUGAAAUCCCGGGGCUCAACCCCGGAACUGCAUUGGAUACUGCCUUGCUCGAGUACUGGAGAUGGAACUGGAAUUUACGGUGUAGCAGUGAAAUGCGUAGAGAUCGUAAGGAAGGCCAGUGGCGAAGGCGAGUUCCUGGACAGUUACUGACGCUGAGGCACGAAGGCCAGGGGAGCAAACGGG
rnacentral:rRNA from 1 species